GACGAACGCUGGCGGCGUGCUUAACACAUGCAAGUCGUACGGUAAGGCCCUUUCGGGGGUACACGAGUGGCGACCGGUUGAGUAACACGUGAGUAACCUGCCCACACCUCUGUUAUGACGGUGGGAAACUGGUGCUAAUACUGGAUAUGUGCCACUGCAGCAUGGUGGGGGUUGGAAAGCUCCGGCGGUUGUGGGUGGACUCGCGGCCUAUCGGCGUGUUGGUGGGGUAGUGGGCUACCAACGCGGCGACGCGUAGCCGGCCUGAGAGGGUGAGCGGCCACAUAGGGACUGAGAUACGGCCCAGGCUCCGACGGGAGGAAGCUGUGGGGAAUAUUGAACCAGCGGUGCCAGGCGGGUGCAGAAGCCCUGCGGGCGGUAUGACGGCCUUGGGGUUGAAAACCGCUUGCAGCAGGGACCACGCCUUUUGUGACGGUACCUGAAGAAGAAGCACCGGCUAACUACGUG
rnacentral:rRNA from 1 species